AUUGAACGCUGGCGGCAGGCCUAACACAUGCAAGUCGAACGGUAACAGGAAGAAGCUUGCUGCUUUGCUGACGAGUGGCGGACGGGUGAGUAAUGUCUGGGAAACUGCCUGAUGGAGGGGGAUAACUACUGGAAACGGUAGCUAAUACCGCAUAACGUCGCAAGACCAAAGAGGGGGACCUUCGGGCCUCUUGCCAUCGGAUGUGCCCAGAUGGGAUUAGCUAGUAGGUGGGGUAACGGCUCACCUAGGCGACGAUCCCUAGCUGGUCUGAGAGGAUGACCAGCCACACUGGAACUGAGACACGGUCCAGACUCCUACGGGAGGCAGCAGUGGGGAAUAUUGCACAAUGGGCGCAAGCCUGAUGCAGCCAUGCCGCGUGUAUGAAGAAGGCCUUCGGGUUGUAAAGUACUUUCAGCGGGGAGGAAGGGAGUAAAGUUAAUACCUUUACUCAUUGACGUUACCCGCAGAAGAAGCACCGGCUAACUCCGUG
rnacentral:rRNA from 1 species